rnacentral:rRNA from 1 species
AGUGAACGCUGGCGGUAGGCCUAACACAUGCAAGUCGAACGGCAGCACAGUAAGAGCUUGCUCUUACGGGUGGCGAGUGGCGGACGGGUGAGGAAUACAUCGGAAUCUACUUUUUCGUGGGGGAUAACGUAGGGAAACUUACGCUAAUACCGCAUACGACCUACGGGUGAAAGCAGGGGAUCUUCGGACCUUGCGCGAUUGAAUGAGCCGAUGUCGGAUUAGCUAGUUGGCGGGGUAAAGGCCCACCAAGGCGACGAUCCGUAGCUGGUCUGAGAGGAUGAUCAGCCACACUGGAACUGAGACACGGUCCAGACGCCUACGAGAGGCAGCAGUGGGGAAUAUUGGACAAUGGGCGCAAGCCUGAUCCAGCCAUACCGCGUGUGUGAAGAAGGCCUUCGGGUUGUAAAGCCCUUUUGUUGGGAAAGAAACGCAGCAGGUUAAUACCCCGCUGUUCUGACGGUACCCAAAGAAUAAGCACCGGCUAACUUCGUG